AAGCAUGUCACAUGACUGAGUGGAGACGGUCCCAAAGACACAGAGGAUGGUGGAGACACAGAUAGAAGAAGCCCAGGUUCCUCUAUGCCUCCUAGUCCCCAGAAGGGAGAGGUUUCCUGCCCUUCAACCUAGCCCCCAAUCACGCAGU